AGGCCAUUUUAUAUCAGCAAUAUGAAGCAAAGAAUGAAAAAAAAAAAAAAGGUGGGAGCACCCCACCCAGCCCCCAUCUUCAGAGGCCUAUUUGGCAGUGACUGACAGUCACCACGUCAUUACGUUGACACACUGGUUGGAAGUCCCGCCUCCCGAUACGAGCACAGCAACCGGUUCCCAGAGUCUUUCAGAAGCCAGCAUUAGACUGGAGUACCAAUGGAAAGCUCAAUGAGGGGAGGCUGUAUGUAGCAAGGGUUUACCUUGGAAGUUGAAUAAAAGUUGUUUAUUUACAA